GGGCUGUUUCUCACCUGGCCAGAGCGAUUGAAUGUCAUUCAACAGGUAGUCGGUUCGAUCCCGAUCAGCUCCA
rnacentral:tRNA from 1 species